UUUGAUUAUUAGAUUGAACAUGGCGGGAUGCUUUACACAUGCAAGUCGAACGGCAGCACGGGGCUUCGGUCUGGUGGCGAGUGGCGAACGGGUGAGUAAUGUCGGAACAUGCCUAGUAGCGGGGAUAACUACGCGAAAGCGUAGCUAAUACCACCACGCCCGCUUGGGAAAGCAGGGGACCUUCGGGCCUCGCCACUAUUGACGGCCGAUAUCGGAUUGGCCAGUUGGUGGGGUAACGGCUCACCAAGGCGACGUCCGUAGCUGGUUUGAGACGACCAGCCACACUGGGACUGAGACACGGCCCGAACUCUACGAGGUAAGCAGUGGAGAAUUUUGGACAAUGGAAACUGAUCAGCCAUCCAGUGCAAUAUGCGAUAAACCUUCAGGUUUUAUCAACACUUUUGGCAGGAAAAUGGCACGGGAUAAUACCCCGUGCAACUGACAGUACCUGCAGAAUAAGCACCGGCUAACCGUGCCAGCAGCCGCGGUAAUACGUAGGGUGCAAGCGUUAAUCGAUUACUGGGCGUAAAGUGCGCAGGCGGUUCGGAAGAAGAUGUGAAAUCCCAGAGCUUAACUUUGGAAUUGCAUUUUUAACUACCGAGCUAGAGUGUGUCAGGGGGAGGUGAUUCCGCGUGUAGCAGUGAUGCGUAGAUAUGCGGAGAACACCGAUGGCGAAGGCAACCUCCUGGGAUAACACUGACACUCAUGCUAAGCGUGGGAGCAAACAGGAUUAGAUACCUGGUAGUCCACGCCCUAAAACGAUGUCCUUUAGCUGUUGGGGCCUUCGGGCCUUGGUAGCGCAACUAACGCGUGGUUGACCGCCUGGGAAUUACCCAGUCGUAAGAUUAAAACUCAAAGGAAUUGGCGGGGACCCGCACAAGCGGUGGAUGAUGUGGAUUAAUUCGAUGCAACGCGAAAAACCCCUACCCCUUGACAUGUCACCAGAAUCCGGGUGGGAGUGCUCGCAAGAGAACCGGAACACAGGUGCUGCAUGGCUGUCGUCAGCUCCGUGUCGUGAGAUGUUGGGUUAAGUCCGCAACGAGCACAAUGUCUCGUGGAUUGCUACGAAAGGGCACUCUAAUGAGACUGCCGGUAACAAACCGGAGGAAGGUGGGGAUGACGUCAAGUCCUCGCGGCCCUUAUGGGUAGGGCUACACGUCAUACAAUGGUCGGGACAGAGGGUCUGCUUAACCCCACGAAAGGGCAUCCCAGAGCCCGAUCGUAGUCCGGAUCGCAGUCUACCUUCGGAAACUCGCGUGAAGUCGGAAUCGCUGGUAAUCGCGGAUCAGCAUGUCGCGGUGAAUGCGUUCCCGGGUCUUGUACACACACCGCCCGUCACACCAUGGGAGUGGGUUUACCAGAAGUAGUUGGCCUAACCAUGGGAGGCGGUCUCACGGUAGGAUUCAUGACUGGGGUGAAGUCGUAACAAGGUAACCCUGUUACUGAUGCUCUGAGGU
rnacentral:rRNA from 1 species